GCUGCAGGCGGCGGCGGUGGAGACCCGACGAGAUCCGCUCUCCUUCCCGCCCUGGACCCUCAGCCUGACGAGAGGCUGGGCAGAAACUCGCGAUCCCCAGGCCCUGCCUGUGCACCAGCGGCUGGCGCCAGGCCAAUGACAGUACGGGAGAGGGCAACUCUCCCGGCCGCCACGGUGGGGGCCGGAACUUCCUGCACUGCAGCCUCGCAGGUCAUUUCC
rnacentral:lncRNA from 1 species